rnacentral:rRNA from 2 species
ACGGGUGAGUAAUGCCUAGGAAUCUGCCUGGUAGUGGGGGACAACGUCUCGAAAGGGACGCUAAUACCGCAUACGUCCUACGGGAGAAAGCAGGGGACCUUCGGGCCUUGCGCUAUCAGAUGAGCCUAGGUCGGAUUAGCUAGUUGGUGAGGUAAUGGCUCACCAAGGCGACGAUCCGUAACUGGUCUGAGAGGAUGAUCAGUCACACUGGAACUGAGACACGGUCCAGACUCCUACGGGAGGCAGCAGUGGGGAAUAUUGGACAAUGGGCGAAAGCCUGAUCCAGCCAUGCCGCGUGUGUGAAGAAGGUCUUCGGAUUGUAAAGCACUUUAAGUUGGGAGGAAGGGUUGUAGAUUAAUACUCUGCAAUUUUGACGUUACCGACAGAAUAAGCACCGGCUAACUCUGUGCCAGCAGCCGCGGUAAUACAGAGGGUGCAAGCGUUAAUCGGAAUUACUGGGCGUAAAGCGCGCGUAGGUGGUUUGUUAAGUUGGAUGUGAAAGCCCCGGGCUCAACCUGGGAACUGCAUUCAAAACUGACAAGCUAGAGUAUGGUAGAGGGUGGUGGAAUUUCCUGUGUAGCGGUGAA